rnacentral:rRNA from 1 species
AUUGAACGCUGGCGGCAUGCUUUACACAUGCAAGUCGAACGGCAGCGCGGGCUUCGGCCUGGCGGCGAGUGGCGAACGGGUGAGUAAUACAUCGGAACGUGCCCAGUAGUGGGGGAUAGCUCGGCGAAAGCCGGAUUAAUAUCGCAUACGACCUGAGGGUGAAAGCGGGGGAUCUUCGGACCUCGCGCUAUUGGAGCGGCCGAUGGCAGAUUAGCUAGUUGGUGGGGUAAAGGCCUACCAAGGCGACGAUCUGUAGCUGGUCUGAGAGGACGACCAGCCACACUGGGACUGAGACACGGCCCAGACUCCUACGGGAGGCAGCAGUGGGGAAUUUUGGACAAAGGGCGAAAGCCUGAUCCAGCAAUGCCGCGUGUGUGAUGAAGGCCUUCGGGUUGUAAAGCACUUUUGGCGGGAACGAAAAGGACUGUGCCAAUACCACGGUUCGAUGACGGUACCCGCAGAAUAAGCACCGGCUAACUACGUG